GGGCUGGUAGUUCAGUGGUAGAAUAUCACAACGGCCGACAAGUCUUUCGAGACUAACAAAUACGUACGUAUUGGUCUGCCCAUACUAACCACUCCCCUUCUAGGUGGUCGGUCGUUGUGAAGACUCAGGUUCGAAUCCUGAUCAGCCCU